rnacentral:rRNA from 1 species
UACGAAGGGGGCUAGCGUUGCUCGGAAUUACUGGGCGUAAAGCGCACGUAGGCGGUCUUUUAAGUCGGGGGUGAAAUCCUGGAGCUCAACUCCAGAACUGCCUUCGAUACUGGAAGACUUGAGUCCGGGAGAGGUGAGUGGAACUGCGAGUGUAGAGGUGAAAUUCGUAGAUAUUCGCAAGAACACCGGUGGCGAAGGCGGCUCACUGGCUCGUAACUGACGCUCAUGCACGACAGCGUGGGGAUCAAACAGG